rnacentral:lncRNA from 1 species
UCUGUAAACGGGAAUACAAUUUGGCUAAGAGUGGAUAACCAAAGUUUUCCAUGGAUGUUUUUGUGUGUGUAUUUAGCCAUAUAACAAAAUAUUGUCACCAAGUUUUGAAAAGUUACUGUUUUCUUUACAACACACAAUAACUACUUUUUCAAUGGGUAUUGCUAGUUCUGAACCCUGGAGGAUGCGAAAAAGACACAGAAGAUCUGUACUGUAAACAACAAGAGGAGUUUAAGUAACUAGAUCAUCAUUUCCCUUGUCAUCUACAAAGAUUCUGAGAGUGGUGAAAGAGAUGGUAAUGGAAGAGGAGCUGUGUAGAUGAAUGCAACAAAGACUGAGAUAUUUGCAUGCCAACAUUCACAGCAGAUGUGAACUGGACAAGUGCAAGAUAGAAGGAAGAUGAACACCAGCUAUCUAUUUCACUUAGUCUUCACCUAACACUGAAGAAUAAAGGCAUAUCUGUACCACAUCCAGUAUCAAUCUUCAAGCCAAAGACUCCUCUCCAGUUUUUAAUAUUUGGAAUAAUUUUUAUGUUUGGCAGCAGCAGAUGGAUCCUAAAUACCCGCAAAGUCGUUAGUUUAAUAACACAAUUGGUAAGUACAGUCAUUUUCAGUGAAGGGCAACUGUUACAAUU